AAUCCUCCAAAGCGUAAGACCAGUAGCCUUGAAAUGUGAUUGGGAUGCUAAGGAUUUGCAUCCUUCUUACAAGAUGACAUUCUCAAGCCUGCGGGUAGAAUUCAAUGAUUAUUAUUUGUUAUUGUUUUUGUGUUAAUUCAACAUGAGGAUUUUGGUUUCCUUUCAAUCAAGUUUUGAAUGGUGGACAUUGUAGAAUGUAUUGUUGGAAUGGUGCAGUUUUGCUCUUAUUAAAGAUGAGAUAAGAGGGAGAAGACUGGUCUGCACCUUAUUGUUUCAGAGUAGAUGGUGCCCGCUAGGGAAUAAAGUUAUACCUCCCGAGAAAUAUUCUUUAAAGCUUCAAGCCUUAACCUGUUACUCUCCCAGCAAUUGUGGCAUGGAAAUCUCUCCCUGAGUCUGUGAUCACUUAGAGUUCUGGUGCCUGCUAUUCCUGAUGGCUAGCAUGGUCUUACUUUCCCUUUCAUGCCACUGCUCUGCUGGUUUCCUGGAUGUCUUUUCUUUCCUGCUGCUUGGUUUGUGGAUGAUUUGUUACUGUUGCCUUCGGUUCGGGGUUGCUAUUAUUGCAGUCCCUAUUGGUUGCUCUCUCCUUGCUGCGCCACUGUUUUUGGCUGGUUGCUUUUCACAGUUCCUCGCUUUUGACCUGCUUUGCUGGUUAGUGCUGCCUUGCUGCUUUGUUAAGGUGUGUUGCUGGCUGUAGACUUUGCUCUUCCUGCGGCUGCAUUUUGUUCUUGAUAGCAGAACAGGUUGCUGUUUGGCUCUGCCUUGUUUUCUCCUUGGUGUUGCUGCAUUAGUUCUCCGGUCAUUGUUGGUUAGUGCUUUGCGUGCUGCCUAAUGUUGGGGAGAAGAUUUUCUAGUCAGUAGUUUAUAAACUUUUCCUUAAAAAAAGAACUUUCCAUCAGCUUCUUAAGCUCUUUGACAUGUAGGCCUCACUGAAAGCUGUGGUGGAUGUCUUACGUCUAUUGGCAAUGUUUUUCCUAUGAUGGGAACUGGGGGUGUCCCCAUGACAACUAUUGAAACAAGGCUUGAGUCAGUGCCAGAAAUGGGAUACGAUGCACUUUCCAGAGUGCCACGUGGAGAGAUUUGCCUGAGAGGAAAAUCCUUGUUUUCUGGUUACCACAAGCGACAAGAUCUGACAGAGGAAGUCCUUAUUGAUGGGUGGUUUCAUACUGGUGACAUUGGAGAAUUGCAGCCUAAUGGAGCAAUGACAAUUAUAGAUAGGAAAAAGAAUAUAUUUAAACUGUCUCAAGGUGAAUAUGUUGCUGUGGAAAACAUUGAAAGCAAAUACCUGCAAUGCCCUCUUAUCACAUCGAUUUGGGUUUAUGGGAACAGCUUUGAGUCGUUUCUUGUUGCUGUGGUAGUCCCUGACAGAAAGGCAUUGGAGGAUUGGGCAGCAAAGCAUCAUUUGACCGAUGAUUUUAAAUCAUUAUGUCAAAACCUGAAGGCAAGAAAGUACAUUUUGGAUGAGCUCAGUAGUGUUGGUCAGGAGCAGCAACUUCGAGGUUUUGAGCUGUUAAAAGCAGUUCACUUGGAACCAAAACCCUUUGACAUGGAGAGGGAUCUUAUAACUCCAACAUUCAAACUGAAGAGACCACACCUACUUAAAUAUUACAAGGACCGUAUUACUGUACAGUGAAGCAAGGGCAUGACAGCAAUGUCGAAAGCCGGAAGCUACUGGAGAAAACCUUUUUACCACAAUUUCCCAAAGUUGUGAUUGCUGAUACUGGGCAGGCGCUACCCACAAAGACUCUGGAUUCGGAUCCUAAGGAAUCCAAGUGACGCAAACAACCUAUAAAUGUACCAAUUGCUUGUAUCUACAUUACUAUUGUUGAGAUUUCCAUCAGAACUUGCACACACAAUGCAUCAGCUCACACAAAACCAGAUGAAUCGAAGAAAACAGAAAAAUGCAGAGAAAGAAUGGCAACUUAGUAAUGCUCAAAGGUUCGUUGCUAUGCACAAGACAUGGCAGUGCAUAGUACUCUCAUUUCUAACGGAACCAUUCCUUUCUACAAUGCUGAGAAUGUGAUCUCAGCCUUACAAUUGAUCCAGCAAUGUAAGCUGGACACUUGUCUUAAAUCUGAGUCCUGUAAGAUUCAUCCAACCGAAAUAUUACAUCUAUAAAAUCUGCGGUUAAUG